GUCCACGCCCUAAACGCUGUCAACUGGCUUUUGGGAGUAUCGACCCUCUCAGAGGCGAAGCUAACGCGUUAAGUUGACCGCCUGGGUAGUACGAGCGCAAGCUUAAAACUCAAAGGAAUAGACGGGGGCUCGCACAAGCGGUGGAUCAUGAGGCUUAAUUCGUCGCUAAGCGAAGAACCUUACCGAGGCUAGAAACCAUACUGCACGCUCUGGGAAACCAGAGAAUCCUUCGAGGGUGUAUGG
rnacentral:rRNA from 1 species